UAUGACUCUCGGCAACGGAUAUCUCGGCUCUCGCAUCGAUGAAGAACGUAGCGAAAUGCGAUACUUGGUGUGAAUUGCAGAAUCCCGUGAACCAUCGAGUCUUUGAACGCAAGUUGCGCCCGAAGCCGUCAGGCCGAGGGCACGUCUGCCUGGGCGUCACGC
rnacentral:rRNA from 1 species